rnacentral:tRNA from 1 species
UGUCUUCACCAGACGGGGAGUCGGUCUCUUGAUGAGACCUAGAGGCUCCUAGGAGUUCCAUCUUUUUGAGGAUGG